GAGGAACCUGCGUCCUAUCAGCUUGUUGGUAAGGUAAUGGCUUACCAAGGCAAUGACGGGUAGCUGGUCUGAGAGGAUGAUCAGCCACAAUGGGACUGAGACACGGCCCAUACUCCUACGGGAGGCAGCAGUGAGGAAUUUUGCGCAAUGGACGAAAGUCUGACGCAGCAACGCCGCGUGAAGGAUGAAAUAUUUAGGUAUGUAAACUUCUUUUAAGAGGGACGAAGUAUGACGGUACCUCUUGAAUAAGCAUCGGCUAACUACGUGCCAGCAGCCGCGGUAAUACGUAGGAUGCAAGCGUUAUCCGGAUUUAUUGGGCGUAAAGCGUCUGUAGGUGGUUUGUUAAGUUGGAGAUGAAAUACACGGGCUCAACUCGUGGAACGUUUCCAAAACUGGCAGACUAGAGGAAGGAAGAGGCAAGCGGAACUUGUGGUGUAGGGGUAAAAUCCGUAGAUAUCACAGGGAACGCCAAAUGCGAAAGCAGCUUGCUGGUCCUUAUCUGACACUGAGAGACGAAAGCGUGGGUAGCGAACGGGAUUAGAUACCCCGGUAGUCCACGCCGUAAACGAUGUCUACUAGGUAUCGGCUGUAUCGACCCAGCCCGUGCCGAAGCUAACGCGUUAAGUAGACCGCCUGGGGAGUACGGUCGCAAGACUAAAACUCAAAGGAAUUGACGGGGGCUCGCACAAGCGGUGGAGCAUGUGGUUUAAUUCGACGGUACGCGAGGAACCUUACCAAGGCUUGACAUCCUCGGAAUCCGUGAGAAAUCAUGGAGUGCCUUUAUUGGAAUCGAGAGACAGGUGCUGCAUGGCUGUCGUCAGCUCGUGCUGUGAAGUGUCGGGUUAAGUCCCUUAACGAGCGCAACCCCUAUUGUAUGUUGUAUUUUCAUGCAAGACUGCCCUGGUGACAGGGAGGAAGGUGGGGAUGACGUCUAGUCAGCAUGGCCCUUAUGCCUUGGGCGACACACAUGCUACAAUGGCCGGUACAAUGGGUCGCGAAAUCGCGAGAUGAAGCUAAUCCCACAAAACCGGUCCUAGUUCGGAUUGGAGGCUGCAACUCGCCUCCAUGAAGCCGGAAUCGCUAGUAAACGCAUAUCAGCCAUGGUGCGUUGAAUACGUUCUCGAGCCUUGUACACACCGCCCGUCACACCACGAAAGUUAGUAGUACCUGAAGUCCCGUUUGGGCCCACGGUAAGAUUAGCGAUUGGGGUGAAGUCGUAACAAGGUAUCCGUAGGGGAAUCUGCGGAUGGAAUACCUCCUUUCU
rnacentral:rRNA from 1 species